UCUCUAUGCGGUGUUAGCCGCCGCGGUAAUACAGAGGGUGCAAGCGUUAAUCGGAUUUACUGGGCGUAAAGCGCGCGUAGGCGGCUAAUUAAGUCAAAUGUGAAAUCCCCGAGCUUAACUUGGGAAUUGCAUUCGAUACUGGUUAGCUAGAGUGUGGGAGAGGAUGGUAGAAUUCCAGGUGUAGCGGUGAAAUGCGUAGAGAUCUGGAGGAAUACCGAUGGCGAAGGCAGCCAUCUGGCCUAACACUGACGCUGAGGUGCGAAAGCAUGGGGAGCAAAACAGGAUUAGAUACCCUGGUAGUCCAUGCCGUAAACGAUGUCUACUAGCCGUUGGGGCCUUUGAGGCUUUAGUGGCGCAGCUAACGCGAUAAGUAGACCGCCUGGGGAGUACGGUCGCAAGACUAAAACUCAAAGGAAUUGACGGG
rnacentral:rRNA from 1 species